rnacentral:rRNA from 1 species
GUUGAACGCUGGCGGCGUGCUUAACACAUGCAAGUCGAACGGGAAACCUUUUAUUGAAGCUUCGGCAGAUUUAGCUGGUUUCUAGUGGCGGACGGGUGAGUAACGCGUGGGUAACCUGCCUUAUACAGGGGGAUAACAACCAGAAAUGGUUGCUAAUACCGCAUAAGCGCACAGGACCGCAUGGUCCGGUGUGAAAAACUCCGGUGGUAUAAGAUGGACCCGCGUUGGAUUAGCUAGUUGGCAGGGUAACGGCCUACCAAGGCGACGAUCCAUAGCCGGCCUGAGAGGGUGAACGGCCACAUUGGGACUGAGACACGGCCCAGACUCCUACGGGAGGCAGCAGUGGGGAAUAUUGCACAAUGGGGGAAACCCUGAUGCAGCGACGCCGCGUGAAGGAAGAAGUAUCUCGGUAUGUAAACUUCUAUCAGCAGGGAAGAUAGUGACGGUACCUGACUAAGAAGCCCCGGCUAACUACGUG